rnacentral:rRNA from 1 species
AACGAACGCUGGCGGCAUGCCUAACACAUGCAAGUCGAACGACACCUUCGGGUCUUGUGGCGCACGGGGGCGUAACGCGUGGGAACCUGCCCUUGUGUUCGGAAUAACUCCCCGAAAGGGGUACUAAUACCGGAUAAUGCCUUCGGACCAAAGAUUUAUCGCCUUUGGGUGGGCCCGCGUUGGAUUAGCUAGUUGGUAGGGUAAAAGCCUACCAAGGCGACGAUCCAUAGCUGGUCUGAGAGGAUGAUCAGCCACACUGGGACUGAGACACGGCCCAGACUCCUACGGGAGGCAGCAGUGGGGAAUCUUGGACAAUGGGCGAAAGCCUGAUGCAGCAAUGCCGCGUGAGUGAUGAAGGCCUUAGGGUUGUAAAGCUCUUUUACCCGGGAUGAUAAUGACAGUACCGGGAGAAUAAGCACCGGCUAACUACGUG